UGCUGGUCCAAAGGCAGUGACUUACCUCAAUUGAUUGUUCAUAGUCAGGUACUCACUGAACACCUGUUCUACACUUUCUCCCUUCUCACACUACUACACCUGACUAGUUAAU
rnacentral:Y_RNA from 1 species